GCACCGCCGCGUACCCGGGUCUCCAAGCCAACCCAGCUCCCCAAGCCCCGGGACCCCGGCCCUCCGUGGCCCCCUCCCCGGGAGCUCCUCCCUCCGGGCCCCCCCCCGCCACCCCCUCGCGGACCCCACGAGUCCCCCUUUACGCCUCCAUAGUGGAUUACCGCGGUGCCCGCAGGUUUCGGGCUCCCCUUACCCGGCUCAGGUGGUAGCCGGCGUGUCCCUGAGUCCGCGCCCGGCGCUCUGAGAGGGUGGCCGUGGUUAAUUCCCGGUAGUGACCGCCAUAGCGCCACGUGGCCACUGCUUGACAAAGGAAACUUUUUUCAACCUCCAGUGAGCCUAAGAAAGCCCCAGCAUUUCAGGCCAAGCCGCUGGCUGCCUGGCUUCUGUUUUUACUCCUUUCCUUCUGUCCCUUUCUGGGACGAGCCACACCUUCUCUGCUUUCUCUGGGCCCGUCCAGGACGCUGGGCCCGGGGCCUGGCGCGGUGAGCUGCAGAUAGCCGGGGGCGCAGGGCAGCCCGGAGGCUGGAGGGCGACCUGGAAGGCUGGACCGGUUCGGGGCAUCUGGUGCUCAAGGAAAGUCAGCUCCCGCCGCCCCUCGGGGCCAGGUGGGUGCAUGAAGUACCCGGUGGCCCAGGUGCCUUUCCCCAACCCAAGGAGCUCAGAACUCUUGGCAGUUCGACGUUUGCAAACAAACCAAAGAGGAGCAGAAAGUUUUCAGACUCAGAGGCGACAUCCCAACAGGUAGGGGGCCAGGGUUUGUAAUUUUGAGGUGUGUCCCAGACAGACCACAAAAUUAAAAUUAUAGCGAGCCCCCACUUCCCCCAAGCCCCUCUCUCCAUCUGACUGAUUUUAACAAGACUAACAGGACUCAGGUGAGAAUUGUGUCCACUCGUAAAAUAAAAAAACAAAAACAAAAACCAGCAUUUCAGCUGUUAUCCAGGGUCUUUGCCUGGAUAGUUCUGAACACAAAAGUAGAAAUAACUUGCAAAGUCCUAUUUUAAAUGUGAGAUGGCCUCAUCUUCCGGCCCAGAAAUCCUCAGAAUAUUUUUGGAAUGUCAUGAAUGUGGCAGGCUCUACAGUUAAAGACAUUAUUAUCAACAAUGUUCACAACAUAAUAUAUUGAAGCAGGGAAAGGCAAGCACCACCAAAUAUAGUCUCCAC
rnacentral:lncRNA from 10 species